UACGUAGGUGACCAGCGUUGUCCGGAUUUACUGGGCGUAAAGAGCGCGCAGGCGGUCGUUCAAGUCGAGUGUGAAAGCCCCCCGGCUCAACUGGGGAGGGUCAUUCGAUACUGAUCGACUUGAAGGCAGGAGAGGGAAGUGGAAUUCCCGGUGUAGUGGUGAAAUGCGUAGAUAUCGGGAGGAACACCAGUGGCGAAGGCGACUUCCUGGCUGUUCUUGACGCUGAGGCGCGAAAGCAUGGGUAGCGAACAGG
rnacentral:rRNA from 1 species